rnacentral:rRNA from 1 species
ACUCAAAGGAAUUGACGGGGGCCCGCACAAGCGGUGGAGCAUGUGGUUCAAUUCGACGCAACGCGAAGAACCUUACCCAGGCUCGAAAUGUAGUGGACAAGUGUGGAAACACACUCUCUUACCUUCGGGUAAGUCGCUAUAUAGGUGCUGCAUGGCUGUCGUCAGCUCGUGUCGUGAGAUGUUGGGUUAAGUCCCGCAACGAGCGCAACCCUUGUCGUUAGUUACCAGCGGGUAAUGCCGGGGACUCUAACGAGACUGCCUGUGACAAACAGGAGGAAGGUGGGGAUGACGUCAAGUCCUCAUGGCCCUUACGUCUGGGGCUACACACGUGCUACAAUGGCCGGAACAGAGAGAAGCAAGACCGCGAGGUGGAGCAAAUCUUCAAAACCGGCCCCAGUUCGGAUUGGAGUCUGCAAUUCGACUCCAUGAAGUUGGAAUCGCUAGUAAUCGCGGAUCAGAACGCCGCGGUGAAUACGUUCCCGGGCCUUGUACACACCGCCCGU